UACAGGGGUGCAAACGUUGCUCGGAAUCAUUGGGCGUAAAGCGCACGUAGGCGGUCUGUUAUGUCGGAUGUGAAAGCCCUUGGCUCAACUGAGGAAGUGCAUCCGAAACUGGCAGGCUAGAGUACUAAAGAGGGUCGCGGAAUUCCCGGUGUAGAGGUGAAAUUCGUAGAUAUCGGGAGGAACACCGGUGGCGAAGGCGGCGACCUGGGUAGAUACUGACGCUGAGGUGCGAAAGCGUGGGAGCAACAGG
rnacentral:rRNA from 1 species